UGCCACGGUGAAUACGUUCCCGGGCCUUGUACACACCGCCCGUCACACCAUGGGAGUGGGUUGCAAAAGAAGUAGGUAGCUUAACCUUCGGGAGGGCGCUUACCACUUUGUGAUUCAUGACUGGGGUGAAGUCGUAACAAGGUAACCGUAGGGGAACCUGCGGUUGGAUCACCUCCUUACCUUAAAGAAGC
rnacentral:rRNA from 5 species